UUUUCAAGCAGCUGUCAAACCCCCAGAGCGCACCCGUCCCUGUAGCAAAAGGGUGGGAAGACUUGAAAAUAGAGGCAAAAAGCCAACCGAGCUUGGUGAUAGCUGGCUACUCAACAAAAGAAUUUAGUUCAACUUUAGGCACUUAUGAGCCAAUCAUUCAACAACUCACUUCCCAUAAACCUAAAGAAAAUCAAUGGGGGUACAGCCCCAUUGAACCGGGAUACAGCCCGAAUUGAGAGAACCCCCCCCCUUUUUUUUCCUGUAGACUUCAAAGCAGCCACCAAAGAAUCGCGUUAUAGCAUAUUUACCAAACAAUUCUAACAACUUAAUAACCCUCCUACUUACAACGAGUUAUUCUAUACUACUAUAGAAAUACCAAUGCUAAAAUUAGUAAUAAGAAACACUUAUUUCUCUCUGCACCCCCUUAAAUCAGACUAGAAAAACUACUGAUAAUUAACAAACUAAAUAAACAAACACACACCUAUCUAGCCAAAAUGUUACUAAAAACUUGUUACCCCAACACAGGUGUGCAAAAAAGAAAGACGAAAUCCCGUAAAAGGAACUCGGCAAAACUUAAUCCCAACUGUUUACCAAAAACAUAGCCUUUAGCCCACUAAGUAUUAAAGGUCUCGCCUGCCCAGUGACUCUUUAAACGGCCGCGGUAUCCUAACCGUGCAAAGGUAGCAUAAUCACUUGUCCCUUAAAUAGGGACUGGAAUGAAUGGCUAAAUGAGGAUUAAACUGUCUCUUACGGGUUGUCAAUGAAAUUGAUUUUCCAGUACAAAAGCUGGAAUAAACACAUAAGACGAGAAGACCCUGUGGAGCUUCAAAACCAAGUUCAUUAAACAUGCUCCUUGGAUUUUUAGUUGGGGCGACUUUGGAGUAUAAAAAACCCUCCAAACAUAUUAAACCUAUAAUAUUAAGAACAACAAAUCAAAACCACAAAAGACCCAGCAACAGCCCUAAUGUUGUCUGAUCAAUGAACCAAGUUACCCCAGGGAUAACAGCGCCAUCCCCUUCUAGAGUCCUUAUCGACAAGGGGGUUUACGACCUCGAUGUUGGAUCAGGACACCCCAACGGUGCAGCCGCCAUUAAAGGUUCGUUUGUUCAACGAUUAAAGUCCUA
rnacentral:rRNA from 1 species